UAGGGAAUCUUCGGCAAUGGACGAAAGUCUGACCGAGCAACGCCGCGUGAGUGAAGAGGGUUUUCGGAUCGUAAAACUCUGUUGGUAGAGAAGAACGUUGGUGAGAGUGGAAAGCUCAUCAAGUGACGGUAACUACCCAGAAAGGGACGGCUAACUACGUGCCAGCAGCCGCGGUAAUACGUAGGUCCCGAGCGUUGUCCGGAUUUAUUGGGCGUAAAGCGAGCGCAGGUGGUUUAUUAAGUCUGGUGUAAAAGGCAGUGGCUCAACCAUUGUAUGCAUUGGAAACUGGUAGACUUGAGUGCAGGAGAGGAGAGUGGAAUUCCAUGUGUAGCGGUGAAAUGCGUAGAUAUAUGGAGGAACACCGGUGGCGAAAGCGGCUCUCUGGCCUGUAACUGACACUGAGGCUCGAAAGCGUGGGGAGCAAACAGGAUUAGAUAGCCCUGGUAGUCCACGCGUAAACGA
rnacentral:rRNA from 1 species